CAUACAGUUAAAGUCAAAGCCUUUGUAAAACUCCUGUUUUUCUAGACAUACAUAUCUGGUGAUGGGGGUUUGGGCUCAACAAUUACUUUCUGCUAUAAAAUCCUAUGCAUUAUGGCAGUGAAAGUGAGAAGGCACUGGACAAAUAGCUUACCACUUGCAGAUUUUAUCUAGCUUUACUUGUUACCACCAUACAAAAGUGCAUCUAUUAGGACAGUGGUUUUCAAUCUGUGGGUCUCCAGGUGUUUUGGCUUACAACUCCCAGAAAUCCCAUCUAGUUUACCAGCUGUUAGUAUUUCUGAGAGCUGAAGGACAAAACAUUUGGAGACCCACCGGUUGAUAACUAGGACAAGGCAUCAACAGGCCCUUUGAAUGAAACAACAGCACCACACCUUCCUCCCUCGGAGAUUCAUGGCAAAGUUCCCAGCAUAGUCUAACCUGGAAUUUCCAUCAGUCCCAGCAAGCAUGAUCAAAGGCCAGGAACUAAAGUCCAAAAAAGUUUGGAAGCCAUUGAACCAGAUCAAGGAAAUUUGCGGUGUGGAAAUAGUGAUGAACAAUACAGUGUACACUGCAAACAAGAGAUAUUUGAUUCUGAAGAAUCUGGUUUGAGGCGGGAUAAAAAAUGGUUGAUCAUUGAUUUACAUGGGACAGAGAUGAACAAGAGAUGAGAGAAGGUAUCUUUGGAUGAUGAUUCCCCACAUCCCCAGCCAUGUAGGAACUGCUUUCCAGCAAAAUAAUAUUUCAAAGUUUUUCUGUGGAAAAUAAAAUAAUAGAAUAGAUUGAUAUGUAUACUGAGCCACAAGAGCUUAGCUUAUGUUACUUGUUGCUCUUAUUUUUGUCGUGAUGUGUUUUUAUGCUUUUUGCUGAUGUAACCCAAGGUGCCCGAAUAGUAUGCUAUUGUAAGAAAUCAAAACAAAAAUAAGCAAUCCAACUUUUAAAUGAAAAUAGAGUCAGAAGUCAAAAAGCAAUUCUCAGAAACUGAAACAGAUCAAACAAAAAUGAAGUUCAAAGACAAAUACAAGAUCAAACCAAAUGCAGACAAUUAAUUAUUAAUAGCCAUUGGAAUUGAAUUGCAUGUCAUAAACCAAUGAACAUAUACAGGAAAAAUGCAGAUAGGAGUUUUUUUCUUUCUUAAAAUCAUCAUCAUCAUCAUCAUCAUCCCAGUCAUCCCACUAUAGCUCUCCAUCUCAGGGUGGCAUACAAGUAAGACCAA
rnacentral:lncRNA from 11 species